UGGGGAAUAUUGGACAAUGGGCGCAAACCUGAUCCAGCCAUGCCGCGUGAGUGACGAAGGUCUUCGGAUUGUAAAGCUCUUUUGGCGGGGACGAUAAUGACGGUACCCGCAGAAUAAGCCCCGGCAAACUUCGUGCCAGCAGCCGCGGUAAUACGAAGGGGGCUAGCGUUGUUCGGAAUUACUGGGCGUAAAGCGCACGUAGGCGGAUUGUUAAGUCAGAGGUGAAAUCCCGGAGCUCAACUUCGGAACUGCCUUUGAUACUGGCAAUCUAGAGUCCGGAAGAGGUUAGUGGAAUUCCCAGUGUAGAGGUGAAAUUCGUAGAUAUUGGGAAGAACACCAGUGGCGAAGGCGGCUAACUGGUCCGGUACUGACGCUGAGGUGCGAAAGCGUGGGGAGCAAACAGGAUUAGAUACCCGAGUAGUCCCUGAGCGGGCUGGCAAGGCGCAU
rnacentral:rRNA from 1 species